UACGUAGGGUGCGAGCGUUGUCCGGAAUUAUUGGGCGUAAAGAGCUCGUAGGCGGUGUGUCACGUCGGCCGUGAAAACCUGCAGCUUAACUGUGGGCGUGCGGUCGAUACGGGCAUCACUGGAGUUCGGCAGGGGAGACUGGAAUUCCUGGUGUAGCGGUGAAAUGCGCAGAUAUCAGGAGGAACACCGGUGGCGAAGGCGGGUCUCUGGGCCGAUACUGACGCUGAGAUGCGAAAGCGUGGGGAGCAAACAGG
rnacentral:rRNA from 1 species